UACAGAGGUCUCAAGCGUUGUUCGGAUUCAUUGGGCGUAAAGAGCUCGUAGGCGGUUCGGCAAGUCGGAUGUGAAAUCUCCACGCUCAACGUGGAGGGGCCAUUCGAAACUGCCGUGACUCGAGUCCGGUAGGGGAGUGUGGAAUUCCCGGUGUAGCGGUGAAAUGCGCAGAUAUCGGGAGGAACACCGGUGGCGAAGGCGGCAUCCUGGACCGGUAUUGACACUGAGGCGCGAAAGCCAGGGGAGCAAACGGG
rnacentral:rRNA from 1 species